CAAGCGGUGGAGCACGUGGUUUAAUUCGAUGCAAACCGAAGAACCUUACCUAGGGUUUGACAUGUGCGUGUUACUGAGGUGAAAGCCGAGGGACCAUAUCUUCGGAUGUGGAGCGUACACAGGUGCUGCAUGGCUGUCGUCAGCUCGUGCCGUGAGGUGUCGGGUUAAGUCCCAUAACGAGCGCAACCCUUAUCGUUAGUUGCCAGCGGGUAAUGCCGGGGACUCUAGCGAAACUGCCGGUGUAAACCGAGAGGAAGUGGGAUGACGUCAAAUCAGCACGGCCCUUAUGUCCAGGGCUACACACGUGUUACAAUGGCCGGUACAGAGGGCAGCUACCUGGAGACAGGAUGCGAAUCUCGAAAGCCGGUCUCAGUUCGGAUCGGAGUCUGCAACUCGACUCCGUGAAGCUGGAUUCGCUAGUAAUCGCGCAUCAGCCAUGGCGCGGUGAAUUACCGGUUCCCGGGCCUU
rnacentral:rRNA from 1 species